CAGCACACACUGUGUGUGUAUUCACAGUAAGCCUACAUUCGGGCACAUCUUAUAAAAAUAAUAACAAAUUCUCCGCACAUGUGUGUGCGUGUGUGAGUGCAUGGCAAAUCAAGUGCGGGGGGGGAAGCACAUCGAAUACGAAACAAAAACAUGCUCCAAGAUCAGCAAAUGCCAAUACUCGUUUUGGCCUAAAUACACAAGGCGCUAACAAGUGGGCAUGCAAGCGUUGCGGUCUACAACAUCGAAUCGUUGAUGACCUACAAAGCAAAUAGAUUGCAAUGUCUAACUGUUUAUGUAGAAUCAAAAGCAUCUGGCUUGCAAAGAACAUGUAAAUUUAAAUAAAAUGUGGUCUAUCAGAAAUCUUAAAGGCGAAACGAAAUUCACCGAAAUCCUUAA